GCAGCUUUUCUCAUCCUCACCGGGAGCAGCAAAGACGUGCAGAGGGGGAGUUUCGAUGAGGCUUUUUGUCAUGCAAACGUGAUAAAAAACAAGAAGACAGAGAUUUUUUCCCCAGUCCCUCUCUAUCUCCCCACACAUCCACCAACCACUGGACCACAUCUCCAAAGUUCUGCUGGACCAGCUCAGCUUCCCCUCAGAAGAAGUGCAACCACCUGCCAGAUGAAGGAGCCUUUUGAGAGGCAGCUGGCAUCGUGAUUGGACUGUACUUUGGUCUGUUCCAAUCCAGCUUCAGCUCCAGAGACGGCAGGCGGGACGAGUCAACGGAGGCCGGAUGGACGAAGGCAUGAAGCUGAGUACAAUGCAGAAAACAACAGAGGAGGAGGGCAGCAGCCCAGAGCCAGAACAACCAGAGUAGCAUGACCAAAGAACUACAGACUCUUCACAACCUGCUCAAACUCUUGGUACAGGACCUCACCACACGGGUCAAAAAGGUUUCCUUCUCAUUUCUACUCUGAAGCUCACCUUCUCCUGCUCAAACUGCUGACAAAUGUUUCUGCUGCUCUAAAGUCUGCUCUCCAGAACUUCCUAAAAACUCUCAAAGUCUCUUCUGCUGCAGGUUGCUUUGUAGAACUGUACCAGAGAACCUCACUAAACCACAUGGAGGAGCC
ensembl:lncRNA